GUACAAGGUUUUCGAAGGUGGUCAAGUGCCUAGUGGCUGCUGAUUUUACUGCUGGAUUGUUUAAGAAGGCAUGUAGUUGAUGGCAUGUAGCUAAGGUAUUUAGGUGUCCCCUAGCUUGUUUUGUAUUUCUUGUGCUGGUAUGGGCUUGUUGUUUUUGUAGAAGUCUUUUAGAGAGUGUAGGCCUUUGGCUUGCCAGGUUUUUAUCUGGAGGUUUUGUGCUGUGUGUCGGAAUAGUGGGUGAUAGGCCAGAGGGAUGGGGAUAGUUUGCCUACUUUUCCCUGUGUGAACCUGUUCAGUGUUGUGGGGAUUUUCUUUUGCUUGUUUUGGAGAAAUGGGUAUGUUGUUGUGGGGAUGUUUUCAAUGAUGUCUCUCUCUAACUGGACCCAUUGUUUUGUCACGUCUUCUAGGAUAUACGGAUUAUGUGGCGUACUUGGUUGGUGAUGUAAUAUGAUUCUAUGUUGGGGAUUCUCCACCCCCCCUUAUGAGGAGCUUCUUGCAUAAAAUCCAGAAUGCUGUGGCUCUCUGUGUUUGUGUAUCCCGUUGAGUGGCAAGCCUUUGUUAUCUCUUCUCUUUUUAUCUUGAGGUCAAAACAAUGAUGUUAUACAUCACGGCAGCAGCCCUACCUUCAUUUCCUGAACAUCUUUGCUCGGGGCAUGUGUCAAAAAGAGAAAAUUGUCUUGCAGCUGUCUAUUAUAGAAUGAGUGCUCUGAAGAGUAUUUAUUUAUACCAUCUAUGCUAAGAAAUUGUGAUGUGGAAGAGAAACAGCAGCUUUUCUUCUUCUUUACUCUGUCCAAAACUUGAGCUGCAUGUUAGCAAACUGUCACCAUGAAUUUGUUCUCUGCUUCAUUCCAAAGUCUGAGAAAUAAGAGCAGCUAUUAGUGGAAACUACCAUAUUUUUCUGUGUAUAACAUGCCCCCAUGUAUAAGAUGACACUUUUUUUUUUU